AACGCCUUCUGCUGCGAUGCCAAAAUCAGCGAUUUUCAUGUGUCCGUCGCUGGUAAGCAGGAUGUUGUCUGGCUUAAGAUCUCUGCAAGAGAAGGAUAAUGGUGCUUGAUGCCCAGCAGAUUGCUGAGGCUGCCUCCGCCCGCAUACUCCAUGACCAGAAAGGCAUAUUGCUGAGUGCAGAGACAAAAGGGAAGAGAGUGAAACACAGGAACAAGAAACCCCAAACUAUUGCAUGUAAUACAGGCAUGUCCCUCAGAAAAACUAGAUACAGAAAGAACAAGUAUGUUGUGUAAUACUCUUACAUGGCUUUUGUUGCUCAUAUCAUGGCAUUUAGCUGAGCUUUGGGGAUAGGCAACUAGUAAACCAAACGGUAUGGCAGCAUUGGAAGUAACUUACUUUGGUCUGAAAGGCUGCAAGGCCACGGCACAAGAAUGGACUGCCGCAAGCAACCUUCAGGAUUCUGGCCUCCUUCUCUAUCGUUUUCUUCUCCUCGUCCUUAGGUGUCUUCCUGAUGACUUUUACAGCCACGUGUUCUUUCUUCGUGGGGAUGGAAGCCAAAAACACCUGAAAAGUCAAAAAAGAAUAAUGUGCAUCUUCCAAAGGGCUAAUUGAUUAAAGGUUCUGUGCACUUUAACAUGCAUGCAAGUUGAUAAAUAGUGGGCACAGAAUAAUGAAGAAUGGACAUCAUGGCACCACAAGAGGCAGCACUGGAGUGGAUGGUUAUUAAAUUUGCUUUAGUUGCACCUUGAAGCUGCUGUGGGCUUUUAAUGGGCCUUAUGCACAAGGUGCAAAGCCACACAAGACAACUAAUGACAUGUAUUUAGAAAGCACCAACAUACUUGGUAGUGCUGUACAGUACUUAUAGAUUGCCUCUCAUUGCACCCUGGUGCCACUUUUCAUCUCUAUAGCAAAUGAUCCCAGUGAACCCCACUGUAGAAGAAUUUCCAUUAUCUCCUAUUUGUACUGGGCCAAGGAUCUUUUUUACCCAAGGUAGGGAUAGAUAUAUAACCCCACAUUAACCCACCAUAAUAUUUGCCAUGUUUGGAACAAUUAGAGGUUGAUAGAGACCAGUUAAUACAGAAGCAUAAGGAGAAAAAAGCUAACCCGAUGAGCUGCUCAUAUAUUUUGCUGCUGUUCAUACCAAAAUAGACUUAGGAGUAUAUUUAUUAUACUGUGUAAAAUGUGGAGUAAAACAUUACUGGUGAUGUUGCUCAUUGCAGCCAGUCAGAUGCUUUGCUUUUUUAACCUUGAGCAACAUCACCAGUAAUGCUUCAUUUCACUUAUUACCCCUUAUUGUUUGAAACUGUGCUUACCUUACUUUUUUUUUUUUUUUUUAAAAACUUGCCCUUUAUGCAAUGUCCUUUGUCACCUACCCAUAGUUCCAUACCUAGCCCUGCCCCCCAUUUCGAUUAGUAGAGUUUUUGUGUCUGUACAUGUAAUAUUUACAACAUAAAAUUUUUCAGUUAUUAAACUACAAGUUAACAUCCACAAGCCCCAAUUCCAUGUCAUACUUCCAACGUCUUCUGUUUUAUUGUAGAUAAUAUACAGGUCCCUUUCUAUUGAGCACAUCACUCACCUUGCCAAAUGUGCCUCGGCCAAGAAUCGAGUGGAACUCAUAGUUGGUAAUAAUGUGUUCCGGUAGACGCUCAGCUUGAAUGGGCUGUCUCUCCUGGCUUCUUCUUUCUUCUGGGAGAAAAGGAAUCUUAUUAACAGCACAUUCAGCAAAUAACCACCAGUACCACAAGCAACUGAAAUGUAAAGUCUCGUUCUAUGGUUGGAUUACUUGGCCAGUUUUUCUACACUCUUAUUUAAACAGUUUAUUGUUUGAAGAUGCUCUUAUGGCUUGUUUGCUAAACCAAUUUUAUAAUAAUUUUUUUUUUUUACCUGUCUGAAAUUUGUUACAGUGAGGUCACAGAAAUUUAUGGCACAGCAUAACCCCAGCAUUUUAUGCCAAAAAUAAAAGACAGAGUGGCCCCAGAAAUAAAUGAUUACAUGCCCCCUAGCCUUUCAUGAUUCAGAAUGGCCCCCAGCAUUGUGUGACAUGUCAUGGCCCUUGAAACAUCUAACAUAUUGCAGAUCAUGGCCCUCUAGCAUUCUGAUACAGCAUAGCCCCUCUGCUCCAUCCUAUGACAGCUGAUGCAGGAGCAAAGCUCAGCUACUGAAAUAAGUUUAGUGCUGGUGUAGAAAUAAAGAAGUAGAGUGGCAUCCUUACCCACUUUUAGCCCUGGUCACACCUUUUAGCAAAUAGUCAGUACUAUUUGGUUAUAUAGGUCAAAGUCGAUCAGCAAUUUAUUUAAUUAUGUAUAUUCAGUACUAUACAAACUAAAAAACUAGUAAAUAAGGUCAAACCGGUAAGUUAAUGCACUCAGUACUGGUCUUGUGUUAUGAAACCUAAAUAGUUAAAUCUAAAUAAUAAUAAACAUUUGCUUUCUGGCUGA